rnacentral:rRNA from 1 species
UCGGGAAAUUUUGGGCAUGGGCGAAAGCCUGACCCAGCAACGCCGCGUGAAGGAUGAAGUAUUUCGGUAUGUAAACUUCGUAAGAAUAGGAAGAAUAAAUGACGGUACUAUUUGUAAGGUCCGGCUAACUACGUGC